UUAUAACAUGUAGUCAUGAAGUUAUCUACAUUAUAUGCUAUUGAAAGAGACAAUCUAAAGCUGAAGAUUUCUUAAAUUUACCAUAAUGAUGCUCUGGACACUUAAAGUAAGAGCCCUUUGAAACUGACGUGCUUGCAGGAUAAAGCACACUCUUCCUCUGGAGGAGAGAAAGCCAAUAUAUUGUGGUGGCGGAAGGAACAAUGGAGCCAAUGAAACAGAGGUCAGAGCUGAAGGUUUCUGCUAGAAGCAAGCUAUAUACAGGUAUUUUAAUUUCAUUUUAUUCAGAAACUCUGCUCUAGGACCCAGAGCCCUGCAAGUAGACUGCUGGUAAGAAAAGCACUCAAUUGUUCAAUUUUUAUUAUUCAAUAUUGUAUUAAAAUUUUUUUAGGUUCUUCGGGUCAAGGCGACUUUUAAAAGGUUAAAAGCUAUUCAAAAGGGUUACCAUAUCCAUAAAAGCAAAUGAAAUUAAGCCUAAAGACUGAUGGAAGGAAAACAAUAAUUUAGAUAAACUGCCACUGGCUCAAAAUGUUUUGACUUUUACCAGAGAAAGGGAAUUCAGAGAUUCUUGGAUUGGUUGUUGUAUCAAAGAAAGAUUCAUUCAAUCUGAAGCAAUUAUUUUUGUGCUUUUUAAUAUUUGGUGUGUUUUAGACGGGUCCCACCUCUCUUCAGUUACAUUCUUUAUACUGGGAAAUGUAAUUGCGUGGCUCCAACUUCCAUCUGUCAACUAUUGACCUUGCUGGUUAGGCAUCUGUAACAUCAGACACUGUUGUCAUGGAAAGAAUUAUGAUGUUUCAAUCGAAUGUAUUGCAAAGUUAACAAAUCCAUAACAUGAUCUGGAUCACAUGGAUGAAUUUGGAAAAUGUGUUUCAGAGACCUCUGGGAAAAGUGAACAGGAUCUCCCUAUUAAUGUUGAUCUCCACUCCUUGCCAUUAAUUGUGAAAGCCAUCAUAUUACAACAGUUUAGCUCAAUUUCAACCUUGAACCUGGAGUACUCCAAAUCCAAAGGGCAGGCUUCCCUGUCUGGCCAGCCCUCUGGUCUUAUCAGAAGAAUCUCUUCUCUCUCACACUCUAUCCCACGUCUCAGCUGGAUGCAGGAUGAAUAAAAAUAUGCUUUCUGGUCCUCACACUUGGUUUUAUGUGAGUGAAUGCUGAUGGAAAUGGGUAAGUAAAUAGUUUUUAAGUGCAGUAGAUCAAAUUACUUCCUUCACAACUUGAAGUUCCUGACAUCUCUGGAAAUACCAGGCUUUUUUCAAAUGUGAAAGUGGGUUGAUCUUCACCUAGCUUCAGUUGAUUGCCAAAUUGUCAGCUUUCAAUAUAUCUUUUUAGUUUUUUGAAAAAAAAAUGUAAGUGAUUUGAUCCACCUUUGGGGGAAAUUUCCUUAGCUCAGAAAAUUCAAAACGAUGAACAUCUGUAAAUGCUUUUAUUUUUGACUUGAGUUACAUAGAGUAAGGGACAGAACUGUGCUUAAUGGGAAGUAGUUGUCUUUAAACAAUUGUCUCUUAAUGGUUUUUUCCUUUGUGUCCAAUAGUCUUUAUAUGUUAGUAUCAAGAAAUCAAAUUUGUUAAACUUUGUUACACAACUUCAUCCAAAGCAACCUGGUCUCCCAGGCUUAAAUUCCCCUGUUAUAUUUUCUCAUUGUACACUUAUCCUUCACAGCAUAUAACACAAGAGUCCUGAGCAAUUUAUUUGUGUAAUUAUUUGUUUAAUGUCUGUCUUUACUGAGAGAGAGUGAACUCCGGUAUGAUAGGGUCCAGACCUGUCUGACUCAGUGUUGCAGAUCAGUGUUUAGCAAAGAACAUACAGAGUAGAUGCUCAAGAAAUUUACUAAAUUUACUAAAUCAACAGAUAUUAAUACUUACUAGUAAAUUUUCUGUGCUUACUCUGCUUAGUUGCAAUAAGGUAAUCUAUUACAUAUUGCUUAAACCACUCUAUAUGUAAUAGUUAAAAUAGUAAAACUUGUGUACAUGGGGAAUGGAUUAAAAAUAAAAUUUAUCCUCACUGUCCUCUAUUGAACUCUAAAGGUUUCUAAAGAAAAUGACUUUCUCUUUUUAGCUAUUCAGAUAUUUACCAUCAUAUUUCUAAACAACACAAUCUAUUCUUGGUUUUCUUAAGACUUCAGAGAGUAUCUAUUGAUUUCCAGAUGAAAGAUGAGAAAUUUUAUGCACUCAUAUUUUUCUUUUUCCUUUCUCACUAUUUUCCCCUAAGUUUAGGGUUUGUUUUAUUGUUAUUGUUUUGUUGUUUUGAUUUAGUUCUUCUAUUGGUUACCUUUAUUUCUUAAUAUACUUAUUUUUUCUAGUCACCAGCUCUAGACUACUCUAUCUUCCUCAUAUUAGAUGCGAUGAAGAAAUCAGUGCACCUACACUUUCAGCGUUUCUUCCUCCUUGCUAAAUCAUUAUAUUUCAUAUUUUUAGAGUUUAAUACUAUUUAUAGACAAAAAUUAUUAUUAUAAUAACCUAACCUACGCACUGGUAUCAUUAUAUUUAUACCAUUUACAUUGGUUCUGUAUCCAAUAUCUUUCAUGAUUUGUCUAUAAUUUGAUUUAAAAACAUAAAUAUCUGGAAAGAAAACAAUAUUUAAAUAUUACUUUCACUAGAACAUAUAUGAUUAAGCACACAGAGCUGGUGAUAUAAUCCCAUAUAGUUCCAAACACCAAAGUCCAAAAGUUUAAUUUAUAUAGCAAAUAUUAUAUCUUACUUUAAAAUUAUUAUGAUAAAGAAAUAAAGUACAUAUAUGUUGUACAUAUUAUAUAUACCAAUAUUGUUCAAAUAAUAUUAUAUUUUAGCUUGUUUUAUAUUUCACCAUGACUUUUUCUUUACUUGUUUUCCCAUGCACACUGCCAUCCUCAAUGCACCUCCAAUUAAUAUAAUUUUUUUUCAUAAAGUCCUCUGAUUUCCUUCUGAUUUCUACUAAUUAUAUUUUUGACCUAUAGCUCACUCUGAGAUUUCUUUUAUUGUACCUCUGGAUUAGAUUAAGAUAUUCUUAGAUUCCUUUUCUUCCUCUUU
ensembl:lncRNA